AGAUAUCAAAUGUUUCCUUCAUUGCAGAAAGUUCUAGAGACUAGAAAGUGCUGAUCUACAUUCUACAGGAUCUACUUUACUAAGAUCCAAGUUUAUUAAGGGAAAAUUUAUCUUUAGCUCUGUUCUAGAAAAUCCUAAAUGCUCAGUGAAUUUUUAAAAAAUUAUUUAGAAAGGACAUUUUAUCAUCAGCAAACAGAUGAUACGACACUUUUAACUUCAGCAAGU
rnacentral:lncRNA from 1 species